GAGAGACUGAGAGACCAUCAGGCCUGCACUUCGCAGAGUGGGGGCCCGAGACCCAAAGACCUGCAAUUCCCAAAGCAAAUUAGUGGCAGACUCAAAGCCACAGCCCAGGUCUCCUGACUUCCAGAAUACCACUUGUGAUUGUUCUAAGUUCUUCCAUUACUGAGUCUGUUUCUGAGAAUUCUGACUGAUUUGCUUCCGCCACUCAGCCUGGAGCUCUGCAGCUGUCUUCACGCACUGCCUGCUUGCCUCUUAGGCACAGUGGCUCACACCUAUAAUCCCAGAACUUUGGGAGGCCAAGGUGGAAGGACUGCUUGAGUGUGGAAGGACUGCUUGAGUUCAGAAGUUUGAGACCAACCUGGGCAACAUGUGUGACUAACCCAAAGGAACCUGGCAAGCAGGAGAAACCAGACCUCCCGGCGCUCCCAAGCCACAUCCCUAUCCUGGCUUCUUCCCCAU